rnacentral:rRNA from 1 species
UGGGCGUCGAGCGGCGGACGGGUGAGUAAUGCCUAGGAAAUUGCCUUGAUGUGGGGGAUAACCAUUGGAAACGAUGGCUAAUACCGCAUAAUGCCUACGGGCCAAAGAGGGGGAUCUUCGGACCUCUCGCGUCAAGAUAUGCCUAGGUGGGAUUAGCUAGUUGGUGAGGUAAUGGCUCACCAAGGCGACGAUCCCUAGCUGGUCUGAGAGGAUGAUCAGCCACACUGGAACUGAGACACGGUCCAGACUCCUACGGGAGGCAGCAGUGGGGAAUAUUGCACAAUGGGCGAAAGCCUGAUGCAGCCAUGCCGCGUGUAUGAAGAAGGCCUUCGGGUUGUAAAGUACUUUCAGUUGUGAGGAAGGGGGUGUAGUUAAUAGCUGCAUCUCUUGACGUUAGCAACAGAAGAAGCACCGGCUAACUCCGUGCCAGCAGCCGCGGUAAUACGGAGGGUGCGAGCGUUAAUCGGAAUUACUGGGCGUAAAGCGCAUGCAGGUGGUUCAUUAAGUCAGAUGUGAAAGCCCGGGGCUCAACCUCGGAACUGCAUUUGAAACUGGUGAACUAGAGUGCUGUAGAGGGGGGUAGAAUUUCAGGUGUAGCGGUGAAAUGCGUAGAGAUCUGAAGGAAUA